rnacentral:rRNA from 1 species
UACAGAGGGGGCAAGCGUUGUUCGGAAUUACUGGGCGUAGAGGGCGCGUAGGCGGCCUUCUAAGUCAGACGUGAAAUCCCUCGGCUCAACCGGGGAACUGCGUCUGAGACUGGAAGGCUUGAAUCCGGGAGAGGGAUGUGGAAUUCCAGGUGUAGCGGUGAAAUGCGUAGAUAUCUGGAGGAACACCGGUGGCGAAGGCGGCAUCCUGGACCGGUAUUGACGCUGAGGCGCGAAAGCCAGGGGAGCAAACGGG